AUUGAACGCUGGCGGCAGGCCUAACACAUGCAAGUCGAGCGAGCGGCGGACGGGUGAGUAAUGUAUGGGGACUGCCCGAUAGAGGGGGAUAACUACUGGAAACGGUGGCUAAUACCGCAUACUAUCGGAUAACCCAUAUGGGAUUAGCUAGUAGGUGGGGUAAAGGCUCACCUAGGCGACGAGCUCUAGCUGGUCUGAGAGGAUGAUCAGCCACACUGGGACGGAGACACGGCCCAGACUCCUACGGAGGCAGCAGUGGGGAACAUUGCACAAUGGGCGCAAUCUUGAUGCAGCCAUGCGGCGUGGAUGAAGAAGGCCUUAGGGUUGUAAAGUACUUUCAGCGGGGCGGCGUUACCCGCAGAAGAAGCACCGGCUAACUCCGUGCCAGCAGCCGCGGUAAUUC
rnacentral:rRNA from 1 species